rfam:Lingula anatina scaffold806, whole genome shotgun sequence.
UCAUCCAUCAAAGUGGCUGUGAAGCAAUGAUAUUGUCUACUGUUGUAUCACAGCCCCGCUUUGAUGAGCUGAG